CCGCGAGGUGGAGCUAAUCCCAGAAAACCGAUCGUAGUCCGGAUCGCAGUCUGCAACUCGACUGCGUGAAGUCGGAAUCGCUAGUAAUCGCGGAUCAGCUUGCCGCGGUGAAUACGUUCCCGGGUCUUGUACACACCGCCCGUCACACCAUGGGAGUGGAUUGCACCAGAAGUGGUUAGUCUAACCUUCGGGAGGACGAUCACCACGGUGUGGUUCAUGACUGGGGUGAAGUCGAAACAAGGUAGCCGUAGGGGAACCUGCGGCUGGAUCAC
rnacentral:rRNA from 1 species